rnacentral:rRNA from 1 species
UACUGCUCAGUAACACGUGGGCAACCUGCCUCAAAGAGGGGGAUAGCCUCCCGAAAGGGAGAUUAAUACCGCAUAACAUUAGUUUUUCGCAUGAAGGACUAAUUAAAGGAGUAAUCCGCUUUGAGAUGGACCCGCGGCGCAUUAGCUAGUUGGUGAGGUAAAGGCUCACCAAGGCGACGAUGCGUAGCCGACCUGAGAGGGUGAUCGGCCACAUUGGAACUGAGACACGGUCCAGACUCCUACGGGAGGCAGCAGUGGGGAAUAUUGCACAAUGGGCGAAAGCCUGAUGCAGCAACGCCGCGUGAGUGAUGAAGGCCUUCGGGUUGUAAAGCUCUGUCUUUUGGGACGAUAAUGACGGUACCAAAGGAGGAAGCCACGGCUAACUACGUGCCAGCAGCCGCGGUAAUACGUAGGUGGCGGGCGUUGUCCGGAUUUACUGGGCGUAAAGGAUGCGUAGGCGGAUAUUUAAGUGAGAUGUGAAAUACCCGAGCUUAACUUGGGUGCUGCAUUUCAAACUGGAUAUCUAGAGUGUGGGAGAGGAGAAUGGAAUUCCUAGUGUAGCGGUGAAAUGCGUAGAGAUUAGGAAGAACACCAGUGGCGAAGGCGAUUCUCUGGACCAUAACUGACGCUGAGGCAUGAAAGCGUGGGUAGCAAACAGGAUUAGAUACCCUGGUAGUCCACGCCGUAAACGAUGAGUACUAGGUGUAGGGGGGUCCAACCUUCUGUGCCGCAGUUAACACAAUAAGUACUCCGCCUGGGAAGUACGAUCGCAAGAUUAAAACUCAAAGGAAUUGGCGGGGGAGCAC